AAAUUCAACAACCAAAUUGAGCUUUUCCGAUCACAACACACACAUAUACACAUUAACCAAUGCUAUCACUUAUUUAAAACAAACCUCAUGUUCAAAGAAAUUGCAACCAUCUUCUCCAUCAAUUGCUCACAAAAUUUAACAAUUAGACCAACACCAACCCUUUUCUCAAAAACCCAAAGAAAAAAAAAAUCCCAAUUGUCGAUACAUCACAAAUUUAAUUUACAAGAAAACAGAGUACAUGCGUAAUUAAAUUAUAGUAGUAUGCACAAAUCCUCGUACACUGAGAUGAGAUUUAAAGCUUAGAAAAAGGGAUUUUUUUUUUUUGAAGGAACGAUUUAUCUGGCUAAAAGAAACUAAUUCUCCACAACGCAAGCAUAACCGGAAUUAGAGACCUCUAAUCAACUAUGUAUCUUCACACUAAAACAAUCAAACGCCCAGCCAAAGCACCAGAAAACAACCAAACACAACGAAAUUAAAACCAAAAUUAAACGC
rnacentral:misc_RNA from 1 species